UACAGAGGUCUCGAGCGUUAGUCGGAGUCACUGGGCUUAAAGCGUACGUAGGCGGGCGCGCAGGCGUCGUGUGAAAGCCCUCAGCUCAACUGAGGAACUGCACGGCGAACCGCGCGUCUUUGAGACAAGUAGGGGCGGUCGGAACGAUAGGGUGGAGUGGGUGAAAUGCGUUGAUAUCGGAAGGAACAUCAGUGGCGAAGGCGAACUCCUGGACCAAUACUGACGAUCAGGUGCGAAAGGCGUGGGGAGCAAACAGGG
rnacentral:rRNA from 1 species